GACGAACGCUGGCGGCGUGCUUAACACAUGCAAGUCGAACGAUGAUACUGAGCUUGCUUAGCGGAUUAGUGGCGAACGGGGUGAGUAACACGUGAGUAACCUGCCCUUGACUCUGGGAUAAGCGUUGGAAACGACGUCUAAUACCGGAUAUGACCUCUUACCGCAUGGUGUGGGGGUGGAAAGAUUUUUUGGUCAAGGAUGGACUCGCGGCCUAUCAGGUUGUUGGUGAGGUAAUGGCUCACCAAGCCUACGACGGGUAGCCGGCCUGAGAGGUGACCGCCACACUGGACUGAGACACGCCAGACUC
rnacentral:rRNA from 1 species